rnacentral:sRNA from 1 species
UUUUUGUGGUAUGUAAGUUGUUGUCUUGCUUAAAGUAAUAGAAUCUAAAAUUAACAUAAAUAGUCAUUCUAUUAAAUCAAAAGAGUUGUUAAGUUUAAGAAA